GAUGAACGCUGGCGGCGUGCUUAACACACGCAAGUCGAACGAAGCGCUUUUGCUCGAUUCUUCGGAUGAUGGUGAGAGUGACUGAGUGGCGGACGGGUGAGUAACGCGUGGGUAACCUGCCUCAUACAGGGGAUAACAGUUAGAAAUGACUGCUAAUACCGCAUAGGACCACGGAGUCGCAUGACUCAGUGGGAAAAACUCCGGUGGUAUGAGAUGGACCCGCGUCUGAUUAGGUAGUUGGUGGGGUAACGGCCUACCAAGCCGACGAUCAGUAGCCGACCUGAGAGGGUGACCGGCCACAUUGGGACUGAGACACGGCCAAACUCCUACGGGAGGCAGCAGUGGGGAAUAUUGCACAAUGGGGAAAACCCUGAUGCAGCGACGCCGCGUGAGCGAAGAAGUAAUUUCGGUAUGUAAAAGCUCUAUCAGCAGGGAAGAAAAUGACGGUACCUGACUAAGAAGCAACCGGCUAAAAUACGUGCCAG
rnacentral:rRNA from 1 species